rnacentral:rRNA from 1 species
UACGUAGGGCGCAAGCGUUAUCCGGAAUCAUUGGGCGUAAAGCGCGCGUAGGCGGCCCGGUAAGUCCGUUGUGAAAGUCAAAGGCUCAACCUUUGAACGCCGAUGGAUACUGCCGGGCUAGAGUCCGGAAGAGGCGAGUGGAAUUCCUGGUGUAGCGGUGGAAUGCGCAGAUAUCAGGAGGAACACCGGUGGCGAAGGCGGGUCUCUGGGCUGUUACUGACGCUGAGGAGCGAAAGCAUGGGGAGCGAACAGG